CCUACGGGAGGCAGCAGUCAGGAAUAUUGGGCAAUGGGCGAAAGCCUGACCCAGCAACGCCGCGUGAAGGAUGAAGGCCUUCGGGUCGUAAACUUCUGUCGAGAGGGAAGAAUGUGUACGGGUGAAUAAUCCGUGCAUUUGACGGUACCUCCAAAGGAAGCACCGGCUAACUCCGUGCCAGCAGCCGCGGUAAUACGGAGGGUGCAAGCGUUGUUCGGAUUCAUUGGGCGUAAAGCGAGUGUAGGCGGUUUGACAAGUCGGAUGUGAAAUCCCGGGGCCCAACCCCGGAACUGCAUCCGAUACUGUCUGGCUAGAGUCCCGGAGAGGGUGGCGGAAUUCCCGGUGUAGGGGUGAAAUCCGUAGAUAUCGGGAGGAACACCAGUGGCGAAGGCGGCCACCUGGACGGUGACUGACGCUGAGACUCGAAAGCGUGGGUAGCAAACAGGAUUAGAUACCCUAGUAGUC
rnacentral:rRNA from 1 species